GUGUACCUAAGCAGACUUCCAAGAAAAACCUCUAAGGCUAGGAUAAAGGUGCCUGUACCGCAAACCGACACAGGUAGUCAAGGAGAGAAUCCUGAGGUGCUCGAGUGAUUCAUGGUUAAGGAACUAGGCAAAAUAGCCCUGUAACUUCGGGAGAAGGGGCUCCUACUUCGGUAGGACGCAGUGAAAAGACCCAGGCGACUGUUUAUCAAAAACACAUGGCUGUGCGAACUUGAAAGAGGAUGUAUACGGCCUGACACCUGCCCGGUGCUGGAAGGUUAAGGGGGGAUGUUAUCUUCGGAGAAGCAUUGAACUGAAGCCCCAGUAAACGGCGGCCGU
rnacentral:rRNA from 14 species